rnacentral:rRNA from 1 species
AGUUUGAUCCUGGCUCAGGACGAACGCUGGCGGCAUGCCUAACACAUGCAAGUCGAACGAGAAAGUCACUUCGGUGGCGAUUAAAGUGGCGCACGGGUGAGUAACGCGUAGACAAUCUGCCCUUCAGUCUGGGACAACUUUUCGAAAGGAGAGCUAAUACCGGAUAACAAUGCAUGACACAAGUUGUAUAUUUGAAAGCUUUAUGUGCUGAAGGAGGGGUCUGCGUCCCAUUAGCUAGUUGGUAGGGUAAAGGCUUACCAAGGCAACGAUGGGUAGCGGGUUUGAGAGGACGAUCCGCCACACUGGAACUGAGACACGGUCCAGACUCCUACGGGAGGCAGCAGUGGGGAAUAUUGCACAAUGGAGGCAACUCUGAUGCAGCAAUGUCGCGUGAGUGAAGAAGGCCCUUGGGUCGUAAAGCUCUUUUAUGGGGGAAGAUGAUGACGGUACCCCAAGAAUAAGCACCGGCUAACUAUGUGCCAGCAGCCGCGGUAAUACAUAGGGUGCGAGCGUUGUUCGGAAUUACUGGGCGUAAAGGGCGCGCAGGCGGAAUAGUAAGUCGGAGGUGAAAGCCCGGGGCUCAACCCCGGAGGGUCUUUCGAAACUGCUAAUCUAGAGAGGGUCAGGGGCCGGCAGAAUUCCUGGUGUAGAGGUGAAAUUCGUAGAUAUCAGGAGGAAUACCGGUGGCGAAGGCGGCCGGCUGGGGCCACUCUGACGCUGAGGCGCGAAAGCGUGGGGAGCAAACAGGAUUAGAUACCCUGGUAGUCCACGCCGUAAACGAUGAGCACUGGACGUCCGGAGGGUUCGACCCUUCUGGGUGUCUCAGCUACCGUGUUAAGUACUCCGCCUGGGGACUACGACCGCAAGGUUGAAACUCAAAGGAAUUGACGGGGACCCGCACAAGCGGUGGAUUAUGUGGUUUAAUUCGAUGCAACGCGAAGAACCUUACCUGGACUUGACAUGUUAGUGAAACUCUGGUGAAAGCCAGAGCCUCUGCGAGCUUGCUCAAGGACACUAUCACAGGUGAUGCAUGGCUGUCGUCAGCUCGUGUCGUGAGAUGUUCGGUUAAGUCCGAUAACGAGCGCAACCCCUAUCCUUAGUUGCCAGCACGUAAUGGUGGGGACUCUAGGGAAACUGCCCGGGAUAACCGGAAGGAAGGUGGGGCCGACGUCAAGUCAGUAUGUCCCUUACGUUCAGGGCUACACACGUAAUACAAUGGGAAGUACAGAGGGUAGCAAAACUGCGAAGUUGAGCCAAUCCCAAAAAACUUCCCCAAGUUCGGAUUGCAGUCUGCAACUCGACUGCAUGAAGCAGGAAUCGCUAGUAAUCGCUCAUCAGCAUGGAGCGGUGAAUACGUUCCCGGGUCUUGUACACACCGCCCGUCACGCCAUGGAAGCCGGUAGCACCCAACGUCGGUGUCCUAACCUUCGGGAAGGAGCCGCUUAAGGUGAGAUUGGUAACUGGGGCGAAGUCGUAACAAGGUAGC